rnacentral:rRNA from 1 species
GAGUUUGAUCCUGGCUCAGAACGUACGCUGGCGGCACGCCUAACACAUGCAAGUCGAACGAAGUAGCAAUACUUAGUGGCAGACGGGUGAGUAACAUGUGGGUAUCUGCCCUUUGGCCUGGAAUAACACGAGGAAACUUGUGCUAAUACCGGAUAAGUCUUUACGGAGAAAGCUUUAUGCACCAUUGGAUGAGCCCGCACUUGAUUAGUUAGUUGGUAGGGUAAUGGCCUACCAAGACUGUGAUCAAUAGCUGAUUUGAGAGGAUGAUCAGCCACAUUGGGACUGAGACACGGCCCAAACUCCUACGGGAGGCAGCAGUGGGGAAUCUUGCACAAUGGAGGAAACUCUGAUGCAGCGAUGCCGCGUGAGUGAAGAAGGCCUUUGGGUUGUAAAGCUCUUUCGUCGGGGAAGAAAAUGACUGUACCCGAAUAAGAAGGUCCGGCUAACUUCGUGCCAGCAGCCGCGGUAAUACGAAGGGACCUAGCGUAGUUCGGAAUUACUGGGCUUAAAGAGUUCGUAGGUGGUUGAAAAAGUUGGUGGUGAGAUCCCAGAGCUUAACUCUGGAACUGCCAUCAAAACUUUUCAGCUAGAGUAUGAUAGAGGAAAGCAGAAUUUCUAGUGUAGAGGUGAAAU